AUUGAACGCUGGCGGCAUGCCUUACACAUGCAAGUCGAACGGCAGCACGGGUGCUUGCACCUGGUGGCGAGUGGCGAACGGGUGAGUAAUACAUCGGAACGUACCUUAUCGUGGGGGAUAGCGCAGCGAAAGCUGUGCUAAUACCGCAUACGCCCUGAGGGGGAAAGCGGGGGAUCGCAAGACCUCGCGCGAUUAGAGCGGCCGAUGCCUGAUUAGCUUGUUGGUGGGGUAAAAGCCCACCAAGGGGACGAUCAGUAGCUGGUCUGAGAGGACGAUCAGCCACACUGGGACUGAGACACGGCCCAGACUCCUACGGGAGGGAGCAGUGGGGAAGUUUGGACAAUGGGGGCAACCCUGAUCCAGCAAUGCCGCGUGAGUGAAGAAGGCCUUCGGGUUGUAAAGCUCUUUUGUCAGGGAAGAAACACCGGCUCUAACACAGUCUGGGAAUGACGGUACCCGAAGAAUAAGCACCGGCUAACUACGUGCCAGCAGCCGCCGUAAGAC
rnacentral:rRNA from 1 species